rnacentral:rRNA from 1 species
GCAAAGCAAAUAAGAGCUGUCGAGGGAUACCUUGGCGUCUAGAGCCGAUGAAGGACGUGGCUACCUGCGAAAAGCCUCGGGAAGAUGGAAGCAAUCUUUGAUCCGGGGAUGUCCGAAUGGGGAAACCCAGCCUGUAUACAGGUUAUCUUUUGCUGAACACAUAGGCAAUUGAAGGUAAGUGAGUGAACUGAAAUAUCUAAUUAACUCAAGGAAAAUAAAUCAAGCGAGAUUCCCAUAGUAGCGGCGAGCGAACUGGGAACAGCCUAAACCUAUAGCAUGUCAUGAUCAGGAUUUUAGUGUUAUGGGGGUUGUAGGGCUGCUUUGAUUCUGUCCUGAAAGAAUCGAAGAGUAAGAAAUCAUAUUGAUAGGAGAACUUGUUGGGAAGCAAGACCAUAGAGGGUGAAAGUCCCGUAACUAAAAUCAAUUUGACUCUUUUAGCAGUUCCUAAGUAGGUCCUGACACGAGAAAUCCGGAUUGAAUCUGGGAGGACCACCUUCCAAGGCUAAAUACUCUAGGUGACCGAUAGUGAACAAGUACCGUGAGGGAAAGGUGAAAAGCACCGUUUAAAGCGGGGUGAAAAGUUUGAAAUCGAUGGCUUACGAACUGUCAGAGGGAUGUGAUCCAGCUUGCUGGAUCUGCCUAAUGGCGUGCCUUUUGAAGAAUGAGCAUGGGAGUUAUCUUUUGUUGCAAGCUUAAGGGGUAAUACCUGGAGGCGUAGGGAAACCGAGUCUUAAUAGGGCAUUAGUAGCAGGAGGUAGACGCGAAACUAGGCGACCUAUCCAUGGCCAGGCUGAAGGUUGGGUAAUACCAUCUGAAGGGCCGAACCGGUGUACGUUGAAAUGUGCUCGGAUGAGUUGUGGAUAGCAGUGAAAAGCUAAACGAGCCUAGAGAUACCUCGUUCUCACCGAAAUAUAUUUAGGUAUAGCCUCAGGUUAAGCUGCUCGGGGGUAGAGCACUGGUUGUCAUGAUGGGGGAGCAAUCCUUCACUUGGCUGCUAAACUCCGAAUACCGAGUUUGCAUUUCCUGGGAGUCGGACUGUGGGGGAUAAGCUCCAUGGUCGAGAGGGAAACAGCCCAGACCCACGGAUAAGGUCUCUAAUUCAUACUAAGUGUGAAAGGAUGUUAGUAAUCAUAAACAGCUGGGAGGUUGGCUUAGAAGCAGCCAUCCUUUAAACAACGCGUAACAGCGGACCAGUCUAGGUUAUUAGCGCCGAAAAUGUAUCGAGGCUAAGUAUGAUACCGAAGCCGGGGGUUGCAUAUUUAUAUGCAGCGGUAGGUGAGCGUACUGCGGUAGGACGAAGUUGGACCGAAAGGACCAAUAGACGAAACAGUAGUGAGAAUCCAUGCAUGAGUAGCGAAAAGAGUGGUGAGAAUCCACUCCGCCGAAAAUCUAAGGUUUCCUGGGGAAGGUUCGUCCGCCCAGGGUUAGGCGGUCCUAAGGCGAGGCCGAAAGGCGUAGUCGAUGGCCAGCCGGUUAAUAUUCCGGCCCCAAUUGUUGGAGUGAUGAGAACGCAGAAAGAUAAACUGUCCGGGUUAAUGGAUAUGCCCGGCUAAGCGUGUAGGUUGAUUUUUAGGAAAAUCCGGAAAUCAUAAAGACUGAGACGUUAUGGCGAACCUGCAUCUACGGAUCAGGGAAGCGGUUGACUCUAUACUGCCGAGAAAAAACUCUAUCUUUGAAGACAAUUGUCCGUACCAAAACCGACACAGGUAGAUGGGGAGAGAAUCCUCAGGCGCGCGAGAUAAUCCUCCUUAAGGAACUCGGCAAAUUAGCCCCGUAACUUAGGGAUAAGGGGUGCCCCACCAGGGUAACAAGACUUGCUCUUGAAGCUCGAAGGGGUUGCAGUGACCAGGCUCUGCCGACUGUUUACCAAAAACACAGGUCCCAGCUAACUCGAAAGAGGAUGUAUUGGGGCUGACGCCUGCCCAGUACCGGUAGGUUAAGGGAGGGGGUUAGUGAUUUAUCACGAAGCUCUUGACUGAAGCCCCGGUAAACGGCGGCCGUAACUAUAACGGUCCUAUGGUAGCGAAAUUCCUUGUCGGGUAAGUUCCGACCCGCACGAAUGGCGUAACGAUCAGAGCACUGUCUCGAGGAGGAGCUCGGCGAAAUUGCAUUGCCGGUGAAGAUGCCGGCUACCUGCAGAAGGACGAAAAGACCCCGUGGAGCUUUACUGUAGCUUGGUCUUGAUCUUUGGUUUUAGCUGUGUAGCAUAGGUGGGAGACGUUGAAAUUAGGGCGUUAGCUUUAAUUGAGUCAUUAGUGAAAUACCACCCUGUUGUAAUUGGAGAUCUAACUGUGACCCCGUGAAACCGGGCACAGGACAUGGCCUGGUGGGCAGUUUGACUGGGGCGGUCUCCUCCUAAAGAGUAACGGAGGAGCGCAAAGGUUCCCUCAUCCGGUAUGGCAAUCCGGUGUAGAGCGUAAAGGCAGAUGGGAGCUUGACUGUGAGGCUGACAGGCCGAGCAGANACGAAAGUNGGUCUUAGUGAUCAGGCAGUGCUGNGUGGAAAGGCUGUCGCUUAACGGAUAAAAGUUACCCCGGGGAUAACAGGCUUAUUCCCCCCAAGAGCUCAUAUCGACGGGGGAGUUUGGCACCUCGAUGUCGGCUCGUCGGAUCCUGGGGCUGAAGAAGGUCCCAAGGGUUGGGCUGUUCGCCCAUUAAAGCGGCACGUGAGCUGGGUUCAGACCGUCGUGAGACAGGUUGGAUUUUAUCCUCUGCAGGCGUUGGAAAAUUGAGAGAUUUUGCCUCUAGUACGAAAGGACCGAGGUGAGGACUUCUCUGGUGUAUCGGUUGUUCCACCAGGAGCAUUGCCGAGUAGCUAUAAGUUUAAUGGAUAACCGCUGAAAGCAUCUAAGUGGGAAACCAGACUCGAGAUAAAUUUUCCGUCUCCUCUUGUAGGAGUAAGACCCCCAGAAGACUACUGGGUUGAUAGGUCAGAGGUGGACAGGCAGCAAUGUCUGGAGCUGACUGAUACUAAUUGGUCGAAAG